GAAACCGAGUCUUAAUUGGGCGUUAAGUUGCAGGGUAUAGACCCGAAACCCGGUGAUCUAGCCAUGGGCAGGUUGAAGGUUGGGUAACACUAACUGGAGGACCGAACCGACUAAUGUUGAAAAAUUAGCGGAUGACCUGUGGCUGGGGGUGAAAGGCCAAUCAAACCGGGAGAUAGCUGGUUCUCCCCGAAAGCUAUUUAGGUAGCGCCUCGUGAAUUCAUCUCCGGGGGUAGAGCACUGUUUCGGCUAGGGGGCCAUCCCGGCUUACCAACCCGAUGCAAACUGCGAAUACCGGAGAAUGUUAUCACGGGAGACACACGGCGGGUGCUAACGUCCGUCGUGAAGAGGGAAACAACCCAGACCGCCAGCUAAGGUCCCAAAGUCAUGGUUAAGUGGGAAACGAUGUGGGAAGGCCCAGACAGCCAGGAUGUUGGCUUAGAAGCAGCCAUCAUUUAAAGAAAGCGUAAUAGCUCACUGGUCGAGUCGGCCUGCGCGGAAGAUGUAACGGGGCUAAACCAUGCACCGAAGCUGCGGCAGCGAACGUAUCACUUAAAGCGAUUCAGCGGGUUACGAUUGACGGAGCGAAGCGACGUCAAAGCGUAUACAAAGUCGAGUCGGUUUAAGGAUACGUUCGUUGGGUAGGGGAGCGUUCUGUAAGCCUGUGAAGGUGGCCUGUGAGGGUUGCUGGAGGUAUCAGAAGUGCGAAUGCUGACAUAAGUAACGAUAAAGCGGGUGAAAAGCCCGCUCGCCGGAAGACCAAGGGUUCCUGUCCAACGUUAAUCGGGGCAGGGUGAGUCGACCCCUAAGGCGAGGCCGAAAGGCGUAGUCGAUGGGAAACGGGUUAAUAUUCCCGUACUUGGUGUUACUGCGAAGGGGGGACGGAGAAGGCUAUGUUGGCCGGGCGACGGUUGUCCCGGUUUAAGCGUGUAGGUGUGUGUUCCAGGUAAAUCCGGUUCACUUUAACACUGAGGCGUGAUGACGAGGCACUACGGUGCUGAAGCAACAAAUGCCCUGCUUCCAGGAAAAGCCUCUAAGCAUCAGGUAACAUCAAAUCGUACCCCAAACCGACACAGGUGGUCAGGUAGAGAAUACCAAGGCGCUUGAGAGAACUCGGGUGAAGGAACUAGGCAAAAUGGUGCCGUAACUUCGGGAGAAGGCACGCUGACACGUAGGUGAAGUGAUUUACUCAUGGAGCUGAAGUCAGUCGAAGAUACCAGCUGGCUGCAACUGUUUAUUAAAAACACAGCACUGUGCAAACACGAAAGUGGACGUAUACGGUGUGACGCCUGCCCGGUGCCGGAAGGUUAAUUGAUGGGGUCAGCGCAAGCGAAGCUCCUGAUCGAAGCCCCGGUAAACGGCGGCCGUAACUAUAACGGUCCUAAGGUAGCGAAAUUCCUUGUCGGGUAAGUUCCGACCUGCACGAAUGGCGUAAUGAUGGCCAGGCUGUCUCCACCCGAGACUCAGUGAAAUUGAACUCGCUGUGAAGAUGCAGUGUACCCGCGGCAAGACGGAAAGACCCCGUGAACCUUUACUAUAGCUUGACACUGAACAUUGAGCCUUGAUGUGUAGGAUAGGUGGGAGGCUUUGAAGUGUGGACGCCAGUCUGCAUGGAGCCGACCUUGAAAUACCACCCUUUAAUGUUUGAUGUUCUAACGUGGACCCGUAAUCCGGGUUGCGGACAGUGUCUGGUGGGUAGUUUGACUGGGGCGGUCUCCUCCUAAAGAGUAACGGAGGAGCACGAAGGUUGGCUAAUCCUGGUCGGACAUCAGGAGGUUAGUGCAAUGGCAUAAGCCAGCUUGACUGCGAGCGUGACGGCGCGAGCAGGUGCGAAAGCAGGUCAUAGUGAUCCGGUGGUUCUGAAUGGAAGGGCCAUCGCUCAACGGAUAAAAGGUACUCCGGGGAUAACAGGCUGAUACCGCCCAAGAGUUCAUAUCGACGGCGGUGUUUGGCACCUCGAUGUCGGCUCAUCACAUCCUGGGGCUGAAGUAGGUCCCAAGGGUAUGGCUGUUCGCCAUUUAAAGUGGUACGCGAGCUGGGUUUAGAACGUCGUGAGACAGUUCGGUCCCUAUCUGCCGUGGGCGCUGGAGAACUGAGGGGGGCUGCUCCUAGUACGAGAGGACCGGAGUGGACGCAUCACUGGUGUUCGGGUUGUCAUGCCAAUGGCACUGCCCGGUAGCUAAAUGCGGAAGAGAUAAGUGCUGAAAGCAUCUAAGCACGAAACUUGCCCCGA
rnacentral:rRNA from 1 species